GGACAGUUUUUUUUAUGGGCCAA
rnacentral:siRNA from 1 species